rnacentral:rRNA from 1 species
GACGAACGCUGGCGGCGUGCUUAACACAUGCAAGUCGAGCGAACAGGCCUCUUUCUUGCGGUACUCACGUGGCGAACGGGUGAGUAACUCGUAAGUAACCUACCCUUGUCUUUGAGAUGACUUCAGGCAACUAGGGCGAGUUACUACUAGGAGAUCCUGCGGAAUGGUGGGGGUUGUAAAGUUUCGGCGGUUGGUUGUGGACUCGAGGCGUAUCCGCUUGUUGGUGGGGUGGUGGCUUACCAAGGGUUUGACGGGUAGCCGGCCUGAGAGGGUGACCGGCCACAUUGGGACUGAGAUACGGCCCAGACUCCUACGCGAGGCAGCAGUGGGGAAUAUUGAACGAUGGGUGGAAGCCUGAUGCAGAAACGCCGUGGGCGGUAUGACGGCCUUCGGGUUGUAAACCGAUUUUGUUCAUGACGAAGCUCUGUGUGACGGUAGUGGGUAAAGAAGCACCGGCUAACUACGUG